GUAACAGGGAGCUUGCUCUGCUGACGACCGGCGCACGGGUGCGUAACGCGUAUACAAUCUGCCUUACACUAAGGGAUAGCCCAGAGAAAUUUGGAUUAAUACCUUAUAGUUUAUUAGAAUGGCAUCAUUUUAAUAAUAAAGAUUACGGUGUAAGAUGAGUAUGCGUCCCAUUAGUUUGUUGGUAAGGUAACGGCUUACCAAGACUACGAUGGGUAGGGGCCCUGAGAGGGGGAUCCCCCACACUGGUAUUGAGACACGGACCAGACUCCUACGGGAGGCAGCAGUGAGGAAUAUUGGACAAUGGGCGAGAGCCUGAUCCAGCCAUGCCGCGUGCAGGAAGACGGUCCUAUGGAUUGUAAACUGCUUUUAUACAGGAAGAAUAAGGACUACGUGUAGUCUGGUGACGGUACUGUAAGAAUAAGGACCGGCUAACUCCGUGCCAGCAGCCGCGGUAAUACGGAGGGUCCGAGCGUUAUCCGGAAUUAUUGGGUUUAAAGGGUCCGUAGGCGGGCUAUUAAGUCAGGGGUGAAAGUUUGCAGCUCAACUGUAGAAUUGCCUUUGAUACUGAUAGUCUUGAAUUAUUGUGAAGUGGUUAGAAUAUGUAGUGUAGCGGUGAAAUGCAUAGAUAUUACAUAGAAUACCGAUUGCGAAGGCAGAUCACUAACAAUAUAUUGACGCUGAUGGACGAAAGCGUGGGUAGCGAACAGGAUUAGAUACCCUGGUAGUCCACGCCGUAAAC
rnacentral:rRNA from 1 species